rnacentral:rRNA from 1 species
AGCAGCCGCGGUAAUUCCAGCUCCAAUAGCGUAUAUUAAAGUUGUUGCAGUUAAAAAGCUCGUAGUUGAACCUCGGGAUCAAUGGAUCGGUCAUGCCAUCGGUAUGUACUGGUCUCAUCGGUUCUCACCUUCUAAGGAACCAUGAUGUCAUUCAGUUGAUGUUGUGGGGAAUUAGGACUGUUACCUUGAAAAAAUUAGAGUGUUUAAAGCAGGCCAACGCUUGAAUACAUUAGCAUGGAAUAAUGAAAUAGGACAUCGCAUUCUAUUUUGUUGGUUUCUAGGAUCGAUGUAAUGAUUAAUAGGGAUAGUUGGGGGCAUUAGUAUUCAAUUGUCAGAGGUGAAAUUCUUGGAUUUAUUGAAGACUAACUAACUGCGAAAGCAUUUGCCAAGGAUGUUUUCAUUAAUCAAGAACGAAAGUUAGGGGAUCGAAGACGAUCAGAUACCGUCGUAGUCUUAACCAUAAACUAUGCCGACUAGGAUCGGAUGAUGUUGAUUUUUUU